rnacentral:rRNA from 1 species
AGAGUUUGAUCCUGGCUCAGGAUGAACGCUAGCGGCAGGCUUAACACAUGCAAGUCGAGGGGCAGCAUAAUGGAUAGCAAUAUCUAUGGUGGCGACCGGCGCACGGGUGCGUAACGCGUAUGCAACCUACCUUUAACAGGGGGAUAACACUGAGAAAUUGGUACUAAUUCCCCAUAAUAUUCGGAGAGGCAUCUCUCCGGGUUGAAAACUCCGGUGGUUAUAGAUGGACAUGCGUUGUAUUAGCUAGUUGGUGAGGUAACGGCUCACCAAGGCAACGAUACAUAGGGGGACUGAGAGGUUAACCCCCCACACUGGUACUGAGACACGGACCAGACUCCUACGGGAGGCAGCAGUGAGGAAUAUUGGUCAAUGGACGCAAGUCUGAACCAGCCAUGCCGCGUGCAGGAAGACGGCUCUAUGAGUUGUAAACUGCUUUUGUACGAGGGUAAACUCACCUACGUGUAGGUGACUGAAAGUAUCGUACGAAUAAGGAUCGGCUAACUCCGUGCCAGCAGCCGCGGUAAUACGGAGGAUUCAAGCGUUAUCCGGAUUUAUUGGGUUUAAAGGGUGCGUAGGCGGUUUGAUAAGUUAGAGGUGAAAUUUCGGGGCUCAACCCUGAACGUGCCUCUAAUACUGUUGAGCUAGAGAGUAGUUGCGGUAGGCGGAAUGUAUGGUGUAGCGGUGAAAUGCUUAGAGAUCAUACAGAACACCGAUUGCGAAGGCAGCUUACCAAACUAUAUCUGACGUUGAGGCACGAAAGCGUGGGGAGCAAACAGGAUUAGAUACCCUGGUAGUCCACGCAGUAAACGAUGAUAACUCGUUGUCGGCGAUACACAGUCGGUGACUAAGCGAAAGCGAUAAGUUAUCCACCUGGGGAGUACGUUCGCAAGAAUGAAACUCAAAGGAAUUGACGGGGGCCCGCACAAGCGGAGGAACAUGUG